CAACGGCCGCGGUAUCCUAACCGUGCAAAGGUAGCAUAAUAACUUGCCCAUUAAUUGUGGGCUAGAAUGAAUGGAUUAACGAAAUAUUAUCUGUCUCCAUAAAUACACCUAAAAAUUAAUCUUCAAUUGAAGAAAAUUAGAUAUCAUUGAAGGACAAGAAGACCCUAUAGAGCUUAAAAUUCGGUUGGGGCGACCUGGGAGAUAUAUUUAUCUUUUUUCAGACCCUAGAUCCUAAAAUCAAGCUACCUUAGGGAUAACAGGCUAAUCUCACUAAAGAGUCCUUAUCUAUAGUGAGGUUUGGCACCUCGAUGUUGGCUUAGGGGAUCUAUACGACGCAAAAGUCAUAUAAAGAUGGUUUGUUCAACCAAUAAUA
rnacentral:rRNA from 1 species